rnacentral:lncRNA from 1 species
UGUUACAGCAUGUCCUUGUAGAUCUGUUUUGUCAAAGUGUAUUCUUGAAUGGGCCAAUCUCGGCUCUGAAUUUGAUUUUUUUUUAUAUUUACACGUUCAGAGGCAUUAUUUUAAUAUGUCUGAUUUAUGUACACAGCAUUUUGGUAAGUCAAUGAAGCCAAUGACGGCGUCAUCCUUGCUUUUAAUGAGUAUGAAAAUACUGACUGCUGGCGGUCUGGUGUCAUUCAUUGCUCCCCCUCCUCCCCUCACUCUCACAUGUAUGUAUGACAUAUAGUUUGUAUGUAUAUAUUUGGAUGAUUUUUAAUGCUGGGUAAUAUUUUCGUACUUUGUCAAUCGCCUUCGGAAACUGUCCACUUAAACAUAUCAGAGUACAGUCUUUGUUUAUACUUACGUCACCCACCUUGCACGAGUGUAUAAAAUUUACCUAAAUGUUUAUGAUGCCAAAUACGUAAUAUCAUUAAGCAUUUGAUAAUAACCACAUGUUGGAGGACUCGCCUUAUGAACAAUAAUUUGUUAGUGAGAGUAGUAUUAGCACCUACAGGUAACUUGACGACAGUGAAUGUCUCUGUAAAAUAACAGGGCAUUGGAAUGCACCUGAAAUGCAUUCAUACCAUAUACAGUAAAUAGCAGUAUGAACUGAUUAUAAACUUAAAAUUGAAAUACAUAACUGGAAUGUAUCCCUUUAAACCAUCGUAUAUUAGCAGUUAUUACCAUUGUGUUAUAAUGAAUCCUUUCUUAUUCAGUUUUACUAUUUCAUCUAUUUAUUAAAAUAAGGUUAUGAUAAAUAAUAGAAUGGAUAUACUAAGCACAGGCUAAUGACAAUCUGUAUGCAUAUUGAACGCAUAACAAUUCACUGGUAAUGCUAAAUGUCUACAGGGACGCCACACAGUCCUUUACAACAUGAUGGAUGUGUAGAAUGCAUGAAGAGUGGAGUAGAGUUUGUGCAUUAGAUAUGAUUGUAACCGUCCAUCAAAAUGAAUGAACCAUAUUAAGGUUUAACAUAGACUUGGUGAUUUACAGUAUAUGUUUUAGGGAGUCAUCUUCUAAAUUUGUGAGUCAUGGACAUAUUUUGUCAAUAAAAUAAUUCCAUUAUCAAUUCUAAAUGAAGCAGGAGCAAUAUUGUGUGGUACUGUUCUCUGUGAGUAAUGCGAUACAGUGUAUAAUUACUUAUUUCAGGGAGAAUAGAAGACAUGUCAUUAUAACUUCUAGCAAGUCUGGCACAAGCUUAAACAGUAACAAUUUUGCCAAUAUUGAAGUCUUCAGUCAGAAAUUUAGAACAGUAUAUGGAAUUGUUUUGGAGUAUAUUAAUAUUGUUGUGUCAUACACACCGGAAUUAGGCGUCAGUAAAACCCUGCAAUAUUAUUUAUCUGAAUUGCAUUCUGUAUGCUGAAUUCGUACAUUUUGAUGCACAAUCUAUUGAUACUAUAAAGUAAAUAUUUAUAAGAUCAUAAAAGACAGUGAACAGUAGCGAUACUAAUACUACACUUUUGUGUACAAAAAGCUUUGAUAAUCAAAUUCGUGUGGUAAAACAUGAAAUCAAAAUAGAUGGUUAACCUAUCUAAUCUCCGCAAGGGCAUCAAAAGGGUAUAAAGGCAUCCAAAAGGUAUGUCAUAAAUACAGGAUUUCAUUCAUGACAAAGGUGAAAUUUCUAAAGAUUAUAUUUCUAUACUUUUUAUAUGAGUUUCAUGAUUUAGUACAAAAAUGACUGAUGUUUCUUUAAUACCAAGGAGUAAAAUUUUCAGUAGCCAAUUAUUUACAGACUGUCAGUAUAAAAUAUUACGCUAGAGUUUACGACCACGUUAUAUAUACAUAUAUAACCGAUGAAAAGGGAAGUAAGGUAUUUUAUAAACUCCUUAAGCCCUAUGCAGCAUUAGGUGUGACACAUAUGCUGCAUUAGGUGUGGCAUAUGCUGCAUUAGGUGUGACAUAUGUUGCAAUAUUAGGUGUGACAUGCUGCAUUAGGUGUGACAUGAUGCAUUAGAUGUGGCACAGAUGCUGCGUUAGGUGUGACAUUAUGCUGCAUUAGGUGUGACAUAUGCUGCAUUAGGUGUGACAUGCUGCAUUAGGUGUGGCACAUAGAUGCUGCAUUAGGUGUGACAUAUGCUGCAUUAGGUGUGACAUAUGCUGCAUUAGGUGUGACAUGCUGCAUUAGAUGUGGCAUGCUGGCAUAGAUGCUGCAUUAGGUGUGACACAUGCUGCAUUAGAUGUGACAUAGAUGCUGCAUUAGGUGUGACAUAUGCUGCAUUAGGUGUGACAUGCUGCAUUAAGCGACACAUGCUGCAUUAGGUGUGACACAGAUGCUGCAUUAGGUGAGACGCGAUUGUCAACACAAAUCAUUUCAGCAUAAUCAUGAAUAAUAAAUGUGACUUUGUUUUGCAAUAAAAUGAACAAUUAUU